rnacentral:rRNA from 1 species
CAGCCGCAACAGCCCGCUGGCUCGCACGGGGUGCUCUUCAUCGAGUGUCCCGCGUGGCCGGCAGAGUUUACUUUGAAAAAAUUAGAGUGCUCAAAGCAGGCUACACUGACAGCCUGAAUGCCUAUGCAUGGAAUAAUGGAAUAGGACCUCGGUUCUAUUUUGUCGGUUUUCUGAACCCGAGGUAAUGACUAAUAGGAACAGGCGGGGGCAUUCGUAUUGCGACGCUAGAGGUGAAAUUCUUGGACCGUCGCAAGACGAACUACUGCGAAAGCAUUUGCCAAGGAUGUUUUCAUUAAUCAAGAACGAAAGUUAGAGGUUCGAAGGCGAUCAGAUACCGCCCUAGUUCUAACCAUAAACGAUGCUGACCAGCGAUCCGCCGGCGUUAUUCCCAUGACCCGGCGGGCAGCUUCCGGGAAACCAAAGUCUUUGGGUUCCGGGGGAAGUAUGGUUGCAAAGCUGAAACUUAAAGGAAUUGACGGAAGGGCACCACCAGGAGUGGAGCCUGCGGCUUAAUUUGACUCAACACGGGGAACCUCACCAGGCCCAGACACCGGAAGGAUUGACAGAUUGANAGCUCUUUCUCNAUUCNGUGGGUGGUGGUGCAUGGCC